UCCUGCUCCUCCUCCGACACACCGUGUACAAUAUCCUCGGACAUUGUUUUCAACGAUUCCUCUAUUCUCAGAAAAUUAUCCCCCAGGUGUAACGUCUCCCGCGGAGUCGUAGCCGCGCCAUACCGCCCGCGUAUUCGUAUUCCGUUUGAAAUUUUUCCAGAAAACAUCGCGACGAGGUAUUAAAAAAGACAUCCUUCACUCACCUGAUCCCACCUCUGGUCGUGUCGUAGUUCAGGGUCCUGUUGCCGUGCAACCAUUGGACAACACUGUACUGCAUCUGCAUUGCGAUGUGACGUACGACGCAUAAAAGUUCGAUCGUACUGUCAGCUUCGUAGUAUUUGUCCCUCAACGGUUGCCCCAUACCGUCGACUAUCUGUACCGACGGUGCUGUAAAAAAAAAGAGAAGCAAAAAAUAAAAAUAAAAAAUAUAGAUGACAAAAAAAAAAGAAUGGAAAAAGAGUAAAACGAAAGAAUAAAAUGAACGACAAACUAGAUAUACCGUACGCUACUAUAGUGGAAAAGUGAGUGUCAACUGUAUCAAACUGCAGUGGUAAUACGAGCUAGCGUAGCCUGGUCAGCGAGAAUGCAAUUUAAAAUGAGUGCGGUGGAACGUGAGAGGCGGAUCAGAUCCAUUAUUUAGUGGGUACCUAAAGCAGCUAUGUAAACUCCCCAUCACGAAGCUCAUAGCCAACCGAGAAGGAUCCUGGAUCGGGAUCACCGCGUAAACCAUCCUAUCCCUGAUGUUCCCGAGGAUUAUACGGUCUGUAUAUACAGGUGCGGCUGCGGCCCUUUUUUUCCUUCCCUCCAUUUUUUAUUUCCUCCCUUUUCUCUUUUUUCCUACUGAUAACUCUGGCGAACCAUCGUUCGGGAGAGUGGAUUGGCAUGAAACUACGGCUGCAGCUAUAUAAAAAAAAAAAAAAAAACAGAAAAAAAAAACACGGAGGGAAAAAGAGAGCCGCGUACCCGGCCGGAGGAGAUGUGGGAGAAUGAAAAUUCCGGGGUUUCGCUACUGAGAAUUUUUCACAUUCAACCCCAUGGCGACGAUACGGCAUUCCAACGAAUAUAACCGCCGAUACGUCACGCGAUAGCGUCUUCAUUUCACCUCUAAAGAAGCGACGGUUUUCGAAUUUUAUUCCCGUCUUUCAAAUUUAAAAAAUUCAUUAAUUCUCUAUUUUAAGAUUAAAAAAAAAGAAUCAGAUGUGGUAGAAAACAAGUCUGCAUAGAAAAUCAAGUACGUUUGACUGUGCGAUGUAUCUUGGCAUUUUUUGUUGCAACUGUUUCGCGUAAACCUAUACCGUGUAGUCUACGUCUGAGAAGUUCUGCGAUCUCAUUAACGAAUUAUACACGAUGUUUAGUUGUCUGGAAAAUGUGUUUGCGAAGCGAUAUUGUUACAUACAAGAUUACAAGAGAAUCGCAACGUUGUCGUCUCAGCCUGCGAAAUGUAUAGUGAGAUACGACGUGCAUGCCCACCCACUAAAAUACAUACAACGCAUCGCGAUUACUUCUGAUCUGUUCAUGUUCCAUGGUAAAUUUUCAAUUAGACUAAUUGCUAGAUUUUUCAAAUCUUCGUUUCAUCCGUAGAGGAAAGAGCCGUGAGGGUGAGUGAAAUUAUUUCCCGCGAGUUCAAUAAAUACCCGCGAAAGAGACGGAGAAAAAAAAAAAGUAGAAUUUCUUUUCUUGCACCGGAAGAGAAAGAGAGCUAGAAAGAGAUGGAGAUUUGAUCUGAUCUAAUCCGAUAUAAUCUAUCUUCGGAAGUAUCUAUUACCGGGGGAGAAGGGAAGGGCGAGAAGAGUGGGAGAGGAAAUCUGGUACACUUUGAGGAAUGGGUUGUCGAUUUUUAUCAACAAACGUGCGUUUCUGUCUAUCUAUACAUGCCCUAUCUACUAUUUGAUUAACGCCGGUGAUCGCGGGGGUUGUCUUCGGUUUUCUACUAACAAGAGUCAUCGACUGUACCACGCCCCGCAAGGUCCACUUAUCUUUUCUACGUACCGCAACAAACCUCGACUAAAUCGAACACAUUUUCGAAAAAAAAAACAUUAAUAAAAAAACGAGGGGUGGUUUUCCAAUUUGUUCCAUCCUUAUAAAUCCCUCCCUUACGCUUUCUCGUGGUCCGAUUAAUUUUUUUUUGCGGUAAUUCCAUGAAAUUAAAAUGAAAAAGAAGAGUAAAAAUGGGAACAAAUAAAAUGAACUGUCAAAGAUUUUAGUGAGCAGAAAGAAAGAGAAAAUUUUAAAGCCAAAAAAAAAAAAAAAAAAAUUCAAUCGCAAACGACGAGACUGAAUUAAUGUUUGGGCGGAUUAAAUAUUUCGGAAGGUAGACAAGUUAUGGGCGUAGCUGUCUUUAAGUUGAAUUCGUCUUUUAUACUUGUUUAAUCUUUUCAUCGUCGGAUAGACUUUACGUCGCUCUGACUUUAAGAAUAAAAAGCAGAACGAAAAUGGAACAAAAAAACUAAUAGAAGAAACAAACCAAACAAAUAAGACUUGCACAUCGCUCCGUACAAUUUCCAAAGUUGAAAUUCGUACGAAUGAUAAAAAUUAGGCUAAAUUAAUGAGAUUAAUUUAUACCACGGCACGCCUACCCUCGUCGUUUUAUAUCUUAUUUCGGCAAUAUCUGUGGUGGUCUCAUAUUCGUUUCCGCUAUCGAAUAAAAUUUCCGUAUAGUUUUAGUUUGUAGUAUUCUUUUCUUCGUUACGAUAAUAAAUUCUUGUCUCUUGAUUGAAUCAGAAAAUUAGUCGUCGCAAGACCAACGGGAGCAGCGGCGGCGCGAGCAGCGUAGCCGAAUAUAAGAAGCGCCGGCUAUACGAGCAGCGGCAUAAUACCGCGCGUAUAACGAGUGGACUGCAGCAAUAAAAGCUGUUAUUCCGUACAGAGCGAGCUACAGACUGGCCAAGGGAGGGAAAAAGUUCGCAUAAAAGUAAAUACCUAAUUAGGCCAUAAAAGAUUGCGAGCUGCUCAGUCAAAGUAUAACGGAAAAAGAGAGAGAAUACGGCGGGGUGAAGCAGGCCGAGUAAAAGGAAAGGGUCUUCCUUCGGAUGAAAACUGCGAGAGGAGUUUUGUCAUAUAUUUGUUUAUUUUAUUUUUUCCCGUCCUUUUUUUCACCAGUUUUCUCAUCUCUUUCCUCAUUCCAAUUCUUUACGUUACUUUAUUUUUUAUUUAUUCGCUCUUUUUUCCUAUUAUAUUUUUUUUUUUUCCAUUUGUCCAUGGCCCUCUUCUUCUCUCAAACAUGAGGAUCAGAGGGUUGGCGCACUCCUGAUGAAUAAUUAUUUUCUCCUUUUUUUUUUUCUGUAUCUCAAAAGUCAAAAAGUAUACGACGACGAUAAAAAAAAAGAAUAAUAAUCACAGCUCUGAUAAUAAUAAUAAUUGAAUGAAGAGGAUAGGAGAGCUUUUAUUCCGCGGUCACGCUGAGAUUUUCUAAAAGCAAUUUACGGUGUAGGUGGCAAUGCGAAUGGUGCGCGAUUCUGUCGCCCAAAUUGAGGCGAAUUGAUUAGAGGAUUUCGUCGGUGUUGCUGCUGCCGCUGCUCCUCAUUCUAUUUUAUUUUUUUCACCCACUUCACCCGCAGGAAAGGACAGCGAACCUUCCAUCGGGUGGAUGGUAUAACAUUUUCGCGAAGUUAUUCUCGCAGACAUUGCAUUGACUUUAAUUAAAGUGAAAGAAGAAAAAAGGUAAACGAAUAAUAUAAAAAUAAAAUAAUUCCACAGCUCGCUCAUCCGAUCUAAAAUUCACGAUGAAUUUAUCACUAAUUACUCUUCACUCCGGCACAGUCCCUCUCUCUUUCACCUUGGGAAUUAUUGUUCGUGGAAAAAGCACCUUCGAGAAUGGAAAAUUUUAGAUGAGAAUUAUUUUUGGGAGGACGAUGAUAUUACAAGGUACCAUGAAAGUUAUAUAUAUAUGUACAAUAUUUUACAUAAUGUACGGUACAUAAGUUUCCAAGUAUCGCGAGUUAAUACCCGAUUGAAUUUUCAAUCGCUCGAGAUGUUCUUAGGUAAAGUUUUUGAUAUUUUAGUGAGAAUAAUUACACACCAUGAUUUCGAUAAUUAAACCCGUUAAUAAAUUUAAAUAUAAUCAAUCAACGAGUAGGUCGAAACAAUUUUCGCUAGAAAUUAGUAUUACCUAUACGGUUAUGCAUAGGAAAUAAAUUUAACGCAAAUGGGGUUGCGCGGCGUAAACUGUUUCAAAAAGAACACGUUUAAUUUCAUUUUGCGCCAUUACAGCCUCGAUAACGCAACGCGGUACGACGCAUGAUUAUCAAAUUUAGGUUGAGUUGGUAUUUCGGUGUACCCUACCUACCCAAAUACGUACGUAAGAAGCACCCGGCGGAUGACGAGCUAGGGGUUGGAAAUAUUCAAAGGACUCGAGGCUGCGCGUACAGCGGGGUACCUAAUAAGUAGAAGUACAUACCUAACCGACGCAUCUGUGUUUCCCCGUCCUCGUGUUUACAAUAAUAUUGUUUUUGCCCAAGGGCAUCUCGUUACAUCAUAUCUAGACUUUAACCGUAGGUAUAUCGCAGCCCUGCAGGGUUCUUCCCUCCCUUACCAGAAAUUCAUCUUCAAGAGAAACGCGACAAGAUAUUGCCAACCGAAUAAUACGAAGACACGAACACCUUCGGUAUUUGUUUAGUUUUUAGCUUGUUUGCGAACAAACAAGAAAAAAUGAUGAUAAAAAAAUCUGUUCGAGAGAGAUUCGGACCCGUUAAUGUAUAAAAGUACUUUUUAAUCCCUCGCCAUCGUCCCUUCCUGCUGCCACUUUUUAUUUUAUGCUUACGUACGCACGUCUCGUUGCGUAUUUUCUUCACGAUCUUCGGUCGCGUGAACAUAAAAAGUAUUCUCACGUACUAACCGAGCCCGAGGUAAAAAAAUAAAAUAAAAAAAAGAAAUUUUCAAUCCGCAAAUACCAGACCGAAAAUCGACCUACGACCUUACACCAAGGGGCAGACGUAUACGAUCGGGAAAACCGCGAAACAGAAGAUCGCAAUGAUUUAUAGAAAUACUUUUUUUUUUAAUAUUUUUCAAAAGGAGUCAUUCCGUGGAAAUGAAAAUUUAAUUUAUCGACUGUUUUAUCGGUGAAAAGUUUAUGAAUUUUCAAUAUUAUUUGCGCACCCCUUACUCAGAUACCUGUAACAAAUGAUAUACCGCGGUAAGGGUUAAAUCGCUUAGCGGGGUUCUGGUAUAUAUCUAUAUAGAAAUGUUCUUAUCUUUUUGUAAUUUAGGAAAGUCGCGCAGCAGCGGCAGCAGCAAUUAGUAUGAGAUAUACAUCGGUAGGGAAGUGGGGGACUAAGAAUUAGGGGAAGUCGCGGCGGUCUCGCAGUCUCGAGUUUCCCUUUAAAACUGACUUUUUUCAACUUUUGUCUAGGGGGAAAAACUAGGAGAAAAAACAACGUCUCUUCUUCCGUAUCCUAGAGAAAAUUUCUUCCUGUGGAUAUAAGCACCGAUAAGCAUAAAUUGCGCGGGGGAGCAAAAAAAAGUGGGAGGGUGGUGGUAUUUAUGCGAAUUUUAUUUGAAUUUUAUCUAAAACCAAAGAAAAGUUGAAAAGAAAAGCCCUCCAAAGAAAAAAAAAAAGAGGAGAAACGGAAACAUAUAGAGGGGGAUGGGGGGUCGCAAUAGCUGGGGGCUGCUUGUUAGUAUCUUCAAAGAGGAAUAAUAAAGUCGAAUAAUAUGGUCUAAUUACGCCCGACGGCUACAGGCUUAUAUUGAGAGGUGACUAUACUCGCAGUUCGCUCUUAUCUUGUAGGUGUCUUUUAAAUAAAACCAUCCCACCCCACGUUAUUAUAAUCGACGUUCGUUGAAGAAAACCGAGUUCUUCGAAACGCCAAAGAAAUUGGAAACUUCGCUCUUACACGGCAAUUAUAAAAAUAUAACAUCAUUCAACUUACAUCUGGAAGCUCGUCUCUUGUUUGUUUUUCAGUUUUACGUUGCACGUCAUCCCGUACAAUGCAGACGCGGCAAUAAAAUGCACGUAGCGUCCGACGAGAUUUUCCUUUGGAAAUUUUUAGCGACUUUCAGUUACAUGGAGAAUAAACGGUGCGGGAAUGAUAUGCCACUGUCUCGCGAGUUCGCACUUCGUUCCCGUAGUUUGUCUUUUUUCCCUUCUCUUUUUCUCCCUUUCUCUUUUUCCCUCUAUUCGACGAGCGUAGAGGGUAGAAAAUUUUCUCAAACGACACGAAGUGUGGAAUUCUUUUUUUUCAAACCUUUUUUUUUUCUCGAUAAUUUUGUGCAGCGCAUUUUGAACGACGCAAAGAAAAAUCUCCGACCUGGAACAGAACGCGGUUUUUCCCCUCCCCCUUGAUCCCGUCGAUUUUACGGCGUUCUAUGUCUGACCUACCGGCGCCAGUCGCAAAUCUGUGGCGAACGUGAAAAUUCGUGAAAUAUAAUUAUCCGGUUAUACCGGUUUCGGUGGAGUAAAAUACAUCGACGUAGUUCAGGUAUAUUGUAGGCGUACAGGUGCGAAUAGAAAUCCUUCUCACUCAGAAUUAAAUGAUAACGUAAGGGCGCUUGGAAUAUUUUAUAAAAGAUAAGUUGUUUCUGGAGGGUGUAUAUUUUAGGGUGAGAUUGUCUGCCUUGUCUCCGCGGCGUUAUAAAUUAAAAUUACCUUCAAACAAAUUACUGAAAAAUUUAAAUGAAAAACAUCCACCGUGAAAACAGUUUUAAUUUACAAAACCGUUUUUCAUAUUCAUUCCUACGUACGUUCAUUCAAGAAUGGGAUAAUGUCUCUUCGAAUUUUUCUACUCUAAUUUUUUUCUUUUUCUAGAAAAAAAAUUCUGAGACGCGUUUCGAGGGUGGUAAUUUCGGUCUGCCGCGGGAAGCACUUUAAAAUACAUGUAUGUACUCGUAUUAUGUAAAUAUUAAAACAUACAUUAUGCAUUACAUGUUCAUGUUUUCCUUACUAUCUUCCCCAUUUUUAUCAUCAUUUCUUAUGCUUCUCCUAUCUUAUUUUAUUUUUUUCUUUUAAUAUCGUUGCGGCGUUUCCGUCCUCUUUAUCUAUCUGCGUCGCGCGUCGGUAUGAAAAUACUAUUUUCUCUAUCCCGAGAUUCGGAGAAGCAUUUGGGAAACUGCGUUUCAGACUUGUCUCUUCUGCUUUUCAAGAAUCUCUAGCUGCUGCCGCUGCUUCUGUUACCUCGCACGGAUUGGUACGCCAUUUGUUCGUAUCAGUUACGCUCCGAUACUUUCACCGGAAGCUAAAAGCU